rnacentral:miRNA from 2 species
ACGGAAAAUCAUGGCUGCACUUAA